UACGUAGGGGGCAAGCGUUGUCCGGAAUCAUUGGGCGUAAAGCGCGUGUAGGCGGCCCGGCAAGUCCGCUGUGAAAGUCCAGGGCUCAACCCUGGAAUGCCGGUGGAUACUGUCGGGCUCGAGUCCGGAAGAGGCGAGUGGAAUUCCUGGUGUAGCGGUGAAAUGCGCAGAUAUCAGGAGGAACACCGAUGGCGAAGGCAGCUCGCUGGGACGGUACUGACGCUGAGACGCGAAAGCGUGGGGAGCAAACAGG
rnacentral:rRNA from 1 species